UCUUCCCGAAACGGUGACUCGCACAGAGAAGAAACAAGAGAUGGCAGCCAUGGAGAUGGUGAUGCUAGAACACAUGUGGCAUCUUUAGGGUGAACAGAGAGAGGAUUUUGAGAUAUCUAGAAGGAACCCAUCACUGCUUGAAGCACAUGUGGUAAAAAAUAGUUUUCUUACUCAAACCCAAAAUCCCACCCCUUUAUCGAAGCCACCUGACCCAGGGACUGGGGCGGCGUCAUCUUUAAACAUGGCAGUGAGUGCUAGUGUUGGUAAUCCGAAAUCUAUUUUGACUGAAGAUGGGAAUUCUUCCUUGGGUAAUGCUAUUCGGGUGCAGGGGGAUAUUUCCCCAGCUAUGAGUUUGGUCCUCUGUGACCCCUCUUUUAAUUUUAUUUUUAAUGAAUAUUAUCUGUUAAAAUUUUUGGGGAGCGGGGAGUAAGUCUUUCCACUCUCUUAUUCGGGAUAUGUGUAAAGAAUACUCUGCUAGUUUCAUUAUUUUGCUCGAAACUCAUGUGAGCGGUAUUAAAGGAAAGAACAUCAGGGAUAAGAAUAGAUUGAAUGGGUCCUUCAUGGUGGAAGCUACUGGUCAUUCUGGGAAUAUAUGGUGUCUUUGGGAUGAUAGGAUUUGGAAUGUUUGUGUUUUAGAACAUAAUAAUCAACUAGUUCAUCUUAAAGUCUCUUGCAACAACUUUGAUUUUUGGUUGAUUUCUGCUUGUUAUGGGAGUCCGCAACGGGUUAAUAGGAGAGCACUAUGGAGCAAAAUCUGAUCCCUAGCUGAUAACAUUAAUCUCCCUUGGUGCCUCUUGGGGGACUUCAAUGCCUUAUUCCAUGAUCAUGAAAGGCAAGGAGGAUCGUAUAGAGUGAAUUCGGGUGCUUGCAAUGAUUUUUAAGAAUGUGUGUUUGAUUGUGGCCUUAUUGACUUAGGCUUCAUUGGCUGGCCUUUCACUUGGAAGAGAUGCAAUCUUGUGGAAAGAUUGGAUAGAGGUCUGAGUAAUCUUAAUUGGCAACUUACCUUUCUUGAGGCACAUGUCAAACACCUUCCUUUUCUCAAGUCAUAUCACUCCCUUUUAUGUCUCAACCUUGCUGUGAGUCCGGAUCUGAAUAGAGGGAGGAGGCCAUUUAGGUUUCUUGCAGCUUGGCUUUCACAUCCUGAUUUCAACAAUCUGAUUCAUCAAUCUUCGCGUAUGGAGAGUUCUUGGUCAGAAGGCCUGGUAAAUUUCAAGAACUCCUUGAAGAACUAGAACUAUAAUGUUUUUUGUGACAUUUGGAAACGUAAAAGCAGAAUUCUUCGGAGACUUCAGGGAAUCAAAAAUAGCUUAAGUCAGGGCAGCAACUCUUUCCUUAAGGAUCUUCAAGUGCAGCUUUGGAAGGAGUACGAGGAAGUGUUGGCACAAGAAGAAAUUUUUUGGUACCAAAAGUCAAGAUGCAAAUGGGUUGAGUUUGGUGAUAGGAAUACCAGAUACUUUCAUGGUUCAACUAUGGUGAGGAGACGGAAAAAUAAAAUCCACUAUUUGCAGGACUCUGGAGGUAAUUUAGUUACUGAUAAAAAUGUCCUCGAAAGUAUGGCUCUCUCUUUCUACUCAGACCUCUAUACAGACUCUCUUCCUGUUGUUUCCUUUGUUCUUAAUAAUGCUUUUCCCUGUUUAAGUAUGGGUGACCGCAACAUAAUAGGGGGAAGCAUCUCUGUUAAGGAGAUAAAAGAGGCCGUUUUUGCUAUGGGUAGUUUCAAAGAUCUUGGAAGAGAUGGGUUACAAGCAGUUUUUUUAUCAGAAUUGGUGGGAUAGAGUUGGAACUGAUCUUUGCAACCUUAUUCAAUGCAUCUACGUAGAACCUCAGAGAAUUCAUGAGAUCAACGAGACUCUUAUCACCCUUAUUCCUAAAGUGGAACCUGUCACUAGCCUCAAGCAGAUGAGACUGAUAAGUUUGUGUAAUGUCUCAUAUAAAGUUGUACAAAAGUCUUAGCGAAUCGUAUCAGAAAUCUUAUGGAAAAGCUGGUGAAGCCUACGCAAUGCAGUUUUGUUCUUGGUAGGCAUAGCUCGGAUAAUAUUAUUAUUGACCAGGAAGUCAUACAUUCCAUGAGAACUAAGAAAUGACCGAAAGGUUGGAUGGCUAUUAAAAUUGAUUUAGAAAAGGCAUAUGAUAGAAUAAAGUAGAGUUUUGUGCAAGAGCCUCUUGAAGAUAUUAGGUUCCCUAAUCAGGUUACCAACCUUAUCAUGGCCUGUAUUUCUACGGCUAGGAUGUGGGUCCUGUGGAACGGGUAGGAGUUGGAUGAAUUUAAGCCAUCCAGAGGCAUCCGUCAAGGAGACACUAUCUCACCAAACAUUUUCAUUCUGUGCAUUGAGCGUCUUUCAUAGCUUAUCAGUGCUGCAGUUGACCAUGGCUUAUGGAAACCUAUCAAACUGAAUAGAAAUGGUCCUAGUCUUUCUCAUUUGUGCUUUGUGGAUGAUCUUAUUCUUUUUGUUGAAAUUAAUCUCCAACAAGUUGACACCAUCAAGAGAUGUCUCAAUGCGAUCUGUGACAAUUUUGGGCAAAAAGUUAAUAAUGAGAAAACUAGGGUCUAUUUUUCCAAAAAUGUGGGUAACCAAGUCAGAACUGAGAUCAGUGAAACCCUCCAGUUUGCAACGACGGAUAACCUUGGGAAGCACCUAGGAGUUCCUUUUUUGCAUUCCAAAGUAUCUAAACACACUUAUGAUGAUAUUAUCAACAAGCUUAGCUCCAGACUCAACUCUUGGAAAGCCUCUUCUUUGUCGCUAGCUAGGAGAACAACUUUGGUGAAAUUUGUCAUUUCUUCUAUUCCUCUUUAUACUAUGCAAACUGCGUUAUUACCUAUGUCUACUUGUAAUGCCAUUGAUCGUAAAAGCAGGAGCUUUCUUUGGUGUGAUACAGAACAAUCAAAGAAAAUUCAUUUCAUAGAUUGGCACAGAGUCUUCCUUCCCAAAAAAGUGGGUGGACUUGGCAUUAGGCUUGCAAGUUUGAUGAACCAUGUUUUUAUUAUGAAAGCUGGAUGGGACCUAGUGGAAAAGAGAAACUCCUUAUGGGCCAGAGUGCUUCGUUCUAAGUAUAAAGCCGGGAACAAUAUUAUUCCUAUCGUGGAUAGAAAACCAAAGAGCUUUAACAUUUGGAAGGGAGUUUGUAAGGCAUGGCCCGAUAUCUUGCAAAACUAUAUUUGGAGGAUAGGAUAUGGCACUGAGAUCAGUUUUUGGAAGCAUAAUUGGGUCCCUAACUUGGGCAAGCUGGAACAAUAUGUUACACAGGUAAAUAACUCUACUUUAGAUACAUCUAGCUCUCUUAUAGAUUUCCUUGAUGUUUCAGGAAACUAGGAUGUGAACAAGCUAAAUGGUUGGCUUUCAGAGGAUGUUGUAAAGAAGAUUGCGGCCAUCUCCCUGCCUUCUCCUUGGAAAAUGUCGGACCAAGUGGCAUGGAACCUGUCAUCGGAUGGUUCUUUCAACUUCAAACUGUCAUACCAAGCCCUUUGUACUAAUCAGCCUCCUCUCAAUGACACAUUCGAUCUUAUUUGGCAUUGGAGAGGAUCCGUCGAACAUAUCAGCAAUCACAGUGAAACUGCACUUCAUGCACUUCUUUUGCCCCCGACGUAGAAACAAGGUUUCUUUAAUUCAAGUCUGCAUGAUUGGAUUAAAGCUAACCUCUUCGCACACAGCAACUAGCAAUGUAUUUUCGAUGUUGCUAUCUCCUUAAUCUGGUUCUUCCACAACAAGCUGAUUUUUGAAGGUAAAGACAGUCUUGCACCUUUAGUCCUAGCUCAAAUCCGAAUCCGAAGUGAUGAAUUCAGCUAGUUCACAAGAAAUAUGACUUAUUUAAGCACCUAUAAUGCUAAGCAUGAUCGUCCAAUAUGCUGGACUCCCCCUAACAAAGGUGUUGUGAAACUAAAUGUUGAUGGCUCUUUUUUGGUGUCUAUAAAUAAUGCGGCGUGUGGUGGAAUUGUUAGAAACCAUCUGAGUGGCUUUGUGAAAGGCUUCUUUUGUAACCUUGAAAGUUACUCAAUUAUGUAUGCUGAACUUUGGGAUAUAAUCCAUCGUUUUAAAAUUGCCUCUAAUCUUAC